rnacentral:rRNA from 1 species
UACGUAGGGUGCGAGCGUUAAUCGGAAUUACUGGGCGUAAAGCGUGCGCAGGCGGUUUUGUAAGCCAGUUGUGAAAUCCCCGGGCUCAACCUGGGAAUGGCAUUUGGGACUGCAAGGCUGGAGUACGGCAGAGGAGACUGGAAUUCCUGGUGUAGCAGUGAAAUGCGUAGAGAUCAGGAGGAAUACCGAUGGCGAAGGCAGGUCUCUGGGCUGAUACUGACGCUCAUGCACGAAAGCGUGGGGAGCAAAAGGG